CCUACGGGUGGCAGCAGUAGGGAAUCUUUCACAAUGGGCGAAAGCCUGAUGGAGCAACGCCGCGUGAGGGAUGAAGGCCUUCGGGUUGUUAACUGCUUUUAUAAGCGAAGCAUAUGCUGGUAACUUAUGAAUACGGAUCGUCGCCCUACGUGAACGCAGCUGCGGUUCUACGUAGGUACCGAGCGUGAUCCGGAGUGUCUGGGGGUGAAGAGUUGCGUAGGUGGCAUAAUAGGUAGCGAGUGAAAACCAGAGGCUGAACGUCGGAAUUGCCUCUGAUACUGUUCGCCUAGAGAGCAGUUGCGGUAUGCGGAAUGCAUGGUGUAGCGGUGAAAUGCUUAGAGAUCAGACAGAACACCGAUUGCGAAGGCAGCUUACCAAGCUACUACUGACGUUGAGGCACGAAAGCGUGGGUAGCGAACAGGAUUAGAUACCCGGGUAGUC
rnacentral:rRNA from 1 species